GAUGAACGCUAGCGGCAGGCCUAAUACAUGCAAGUCGAACGGUGUCUUCGGACAUAGUGGCGCACGGGUGCGUAACACGUAUGCAACCUACCCUACAUUGGGGGAUAGCCUUUCGAAAGGGAGAUUAAUACCGCAUAAGACAGUAGCUGGGCAUCCAGCAGCUGUUAAAGAUUUAUCGAUGUAAGCUGGGCAUGCGUCCAAUUAGCUAGUUGGUGAGGUAACGGCUCACCAAGGCAAUGAUUGGUAGGGGAACUGAGAGGUCAAUCCCCCACACUGGCACUGAGAUACGGGCCAGACUCCUACGGGAGGCAGCAGUAGGGAAUAUUGGGCAAUGGACGCAAGUCUGACCCAGCCAUGCCGCGUGCAGGAUGAAGGCGUUAUGCGUUGCAAACUGCUUUUAUACAGGAAGAAACGACUCUUGCGAGAGGCAUUGACGGUACUGUAUGAAUAAGCACCGGCUAACUCCGUGCCAGCCGCCGCGGUAAAAC
rnacentral:rRNA from 1 species